rnacentral:rRNA from 1 species
UACGUAGGGUGCAAGCGUUAAUCGGAAUUACUGGGCGUAAAGCGUGCGCAGGCGGUUAUGUAAGACAGUUGUGAAAUCCCCGGGCUCAAACUGGGAACUGCAUCUGUGACUGCAUAGCUAGAGUACGGUAGAGGGGGAUGGAAUUCCGCGUGUAGCAGUGAGAUGCGUAGAUAUGCGGAGGAACACCGAUGGCGAAGGCAAUCCCCUGGACCUGUACUGACGCUCAUGCACGAAAGCGUGGGGAGCAAACAGG